UGGGGAUGUUCUGCUUAGCCCCAGCCCUGGGGACAGGGGACCCGCUGGGGACGUACGCGACAGAGCACUGGGCAAAGGCGAGGUACUCCAGCAGCACGUCCAGCCCCUUGUUCUCCUCGUUGAGGAACUCCUGGACCCAGCUGGAGGGUGCAGAGGGUUAGUGGGCUCUGCCAACCCCCACAUCCUCUCUCCCCCUGUGCCCACACACUCAGCAGAGCCACCCACCCCCUGCUCAGAGUUCCCCAGCAAGGGUGGAACAUGCUGGGGACAUGAGGUGGCACCAUGGGCUGGCAUUCCUCUGAGGCCAGGUGAGUGCCACGGUGAACCUGAUUUAUGGGGGACACAGCCCAGGGGCUCUCCUGUCACCACUGCCACCACUGCCACUGUUGCCACCUCUACCAGGACAGGACAGCCUGGCCCUGGGGUCUGUAGGCACCCACCACCCCACAAGGCGUCAGGACAGCACCAGAGAGACAUAAUGGGGUUCAGACCCCCCAGCACCCCCAGCUGCCUCAGCACCCCCAGCCUCCCAUCAGAGCCCUCCUGAGGGGGCAGGAUGAGCCUCCACAUCCUGCUGUCACCCUCCAGCCAGAGCCAGCAGCACGUCCAUCCCCUCCCAGAGGCAGUGGCAGUGGCUGGGUGACAAUGCCACCCCCGCCCUUACCCGAUGUAGUUGGUCCUCAGGGAGAUCUCCAGCUCCCGGAGCACCUGCGUCGACUCCUGCACUCGUCUCUUGAACUGUGGGAUGGGGACAGCCAUUGGCACCGUCCCUGUGCCCAGCCUGGGGUGGGGACCAGGGGACCGGGGUGCAACAGGGACCCCUCACCUUCCUGCUGACACCCCCUGUGUCCAAGUAGCUCCUCAGCUUCUGGAUGUAGGCGGACGGAGGGUUCUUCACCUGGAAACGCUCCUAGGAGCGCCAGAGAGAGGCUGAAACUGGGCCAGCUGCUGUGGCACGGGGACAUGCCACUGUCCCCACAGCAGCCACAGUGUCCCUGUCCCCACCCCAACUGCAUCAGUGCUUAAUGAGGUUAAUGAGGUGCUGUGUCAGUAACGAGAUGGAUGUCAGCGCUUGCUACAGACAGACUGAUGCCCAAACCAUGCCACAAGUGGCACCUGGGGACAGGGACAGCACUGGGGACACUGCGAGCCUGGACCUCACCUGGUCACAGAUCAGCUCCCACUUCUUCUCGUUGUCGUACUGGUUAAGCAGCUUCAUCUUGUCCGGGGGCAGGUUCAUGGAAUUCUGUGGGGGAAGGGUGUCAGCACUGGGGGUCACCCCAAAAACACCCCUGGGAUGCAGCACCCCCUGCUCAGCCAGCAUGGGGGUCCUCGCUCAGCAGGGGCAGACGGGGACCAGUGGGAGGAUGGGGAUGUUGGUGGGACACAAAGAUUCCAGUGAGAAGAUGGGGACACUAGUGGGACAAUGGGGAUGGAACAAUGGGGACAGGGGUGGGAGGAUGGGAUCAUGGUGGAAAAGUGAAAGCAGCAUUCUCAGGAUGGGGACACUGGUGGGAUGAUGGGGACAACCUUGGGAGGUUGGGAACACCACUGUUCCCAGGAUGGCAGCAUCCCAUGGACCCAUCAGUGAUGGCCCCACCUGAGGGGAGGGGUGGGCAGCGAGUGUUGGUGGGGGACAGGAGGAAGAACUGGACACAUCCCCCCAUGUCAUGGGUGCACCUUGUGCCCAACCUCAGCCAGCACAGUCCUGGCAAGGUCACAUGGGGUGAGGGAUGGGGACACCACUGGUGACACAACUGAGGGACCCAGGAGCUGAGCUGUGCUUGAGGGGUCACCCCUGAGUCCCCCCAUCCACAGGUGCGUGACAAGCCCGUCUGGGGAAACCAGUGUUGGUUGAGAGACAAUGAUGUCAGGGCCUGGCACGUCCCUCCUGGCCACCAUGGCACAGCCCCAGCCCCCACAGGACGUGACGUGGGUUCCGCUCUCGGCACCGGCGCUGCCGAAACCGCCCCCGCCAAGAGGGAGACACAGCUCCUGUCCCUGGGCUGCUCUGCUGGGGGACACCACGGGGUGACCUUCAUGGGACACCCACCCUGGCCUGGGCCAGGUGCAGCUCAGCUUGGCUCACAGGUGAUUUUUUUGCUGAAAGAGCCAAUUUUUUGUUGAUGGAGAGCACCUGCAGGCUGGCACGAUGGCGUGUGGAGCAAUGCACAGCCCCAGGCCACCCCUAAAUCUCAGUCUUGGGGUUCCCUGAGGAGGAGGAUGGGAACGUGGGGUGCAUGCCAUGCUGGAACAACCACAUCCUUGCAGGAAGGCAUCUCCCAGGGCUUUGGUUGCCCACAGAAGAGCAGGCCCAAGGUGAGAGGUCCCACUGAGGUGGGCAGGAACAGAAACCUCUCCACCUCCUCCAGGGAGGACCUGUCAAGCUGCUUUCACAAGAAGCCAAAACCAGGAGCAGUGGGUGGGGAGGAGCUGGGUUGGGCUGGCACCAAGAGCUGGGCAGGGGGACAGCCAGGCUGCAGGGUCAGAAAUGGCCUCGCUGUGAAGCCACUAGAGCUGCUGGCUGGGCUCUGGGAUGGGCAAGGUGACAGCAGCACCUGGCUGUCACCACUGCUGCUCCCGAGCUGCCAUCCUUGGGGUGGAUGAGGAUCAGACCAAGGGACAGCGCUGUGCCAAGAGGGACCACGCACCCAGACACCCACCCAGGGCUCAGGCACACCCGUGGCACUCUGUGGGACACCAUUGGGUGCCCUGGGCAGGGAGGACAUGGUGGCACCUGCCACAUGGACCAGCUUGAAGCCAUCACACGUGGACCAAGCAGGACCCAGCACGAGGGUGGGGCAGGGUGUCCCCGCGGAGGUGGCUCUGCCCCAGCCCCACAGCCCCUCCCUUGCGGGCAGGAUGUGGCACAGGUCGGGUACAAAGUGGGUGGUGGCUGUGUCCCAUCCCGGGUGGGCUGGUGGUGCCGGGGAGGAAGCGGCUCCGCUGAGGCAGCGCAGAGAAACCGGUUCUGGUUUCCUGCCGGGGAGGGGGAGGUGUGGGGCACAGUGGGUGAUGUGGGGCUGGGCGGAUAAUGUGGCAGCAGCCAAGCACCCACAGGAGCCAGGGGAAGGACUUGGUCCUCCCCUCCUUUUCGUCCUUUGGGGACAAGGAUGGAGGAGCCACAGCCACUUGCCCCCAGCUCCCUCAUCCCGCCCUGCCCGGGGCUCCCCAGCACCUCACAGCCCACCACAUCGCUGAGAGGGUGCCACCAAAUGUCCCCCACCAAACCUGCUGUGCCACAAAGUGCCACAGAGCCGGCAGGGCCAUCCCAGCCAUGCCUGGCACCUCAGCUGUGGGCUGAGCCAGGCGAGGUGAAGCAGCACCAACAUCAUUUUCUGGUACAAAACAACCUUUUGCUGUCAUGGCUGGCAGGGACGGAGCUAUUUUGGGUGUCAGACACCUCUUUGUGCUCCACACGUGAGCGGGCAGCGCCGAGAGGAGCCGGGCUGAGCCGAGCUCUGCACCAAAGCUGGCACAGAACAUUCCAGCAUCCCCCGGGAGGUGUUUGUGCCACAAAGCCCGGCAGGAUGAGCGUGAACCGGGCUGAACCCUGGCAGUGCUGUUUCUGGGGCACGGGGGAUGUGCAGGCACUGAGAGGGGAUGGAAAGCCGUGGCAGCACGUGGGCACAAAAUCCUGCCCAGCACCGGGCACAAAAUCCUGCCCCAGGGAAGGGUACAGGGCAGGGAACCGCCCCAGAUGGGGCUCAGGGGCUCUCCCCAGCUGCAGGAAGGGCCAACACUGCCAGGUGACCAACAGUGCCACUCCUGGGGUGCUCCAUCCCUCAUGGCCACAGAGCACCCCAGAGGUGGUUUGGGACAUGCCCAGUCCUGAAGUGCCAGCUGUCCCACGGUGUCCCCUCCAGUGCCCCCGACUCCCACUGGACUCGUUCUCCUGCCUCUUCCCAGGGCUCAGUGUGAGGCACAGAGCAGCACCAGGCCCACCCAGGGCUCCCUGACCUCCCUCGUGCAGCAAACUGGGCUGGGGGCACUGCCAGGACCAGUUCAGCCCAUCGGGGAUCCAGCCAGACCCAAACCCCGCCAGUGUCAGGACACAGGUCCCCCUUGGGGACACCCUGGCGCAGCCCCACAUCCCCCAGCCAGCCUUGGCCACCGUGCUGGAGAUGGAUGCAGCAGGAAGAUGAGGACCAGCUCUGUUUCCUGGUUGAGAAGAGGCUGCAAAGCCCCCACCAGGCAAAGCUCCCGGCUGGAGCCGCCCCCGUCCCAGCCAGCCACUGUUUGAUUUUGACUCCACCACCCCUCAGCUCACAAUUCCAUUUAUAUGGUCCCAAUUAAUGCUCCUUGACAUGCAAAGGGGGGAGAAUCCUGAUUGCUUCAAGCAGGGUAUGUGAGCAUCCCUAUCCCAGCAGCAAAGAUGCUCUUCCUCUGCUCCAUCCCAAAAUCCACCUUGUCAUAUCCCAAACUACUUGGCACGGGACAACCUUCCAUUGCUCUGCCAAAGCAGCAUCUGCCACAGUGCCCCAGCUGGGAAGAAGCCAAUUUUUGAGAAGGAAGUUUUGGGAAACUAAAUUCCCAUUUCUUGGCACCAAAUGGGUGUAUCCCCUUCCUGGCAGCAAUUGGAUCCCCAUGGCUCUUCCCUGGGCUUUUCUGCCAAGGCUUUGCACCGGCAGCUCUCCCAAUUUGGGAUGUCCAGCCCAAAACUGAUUUGCACUGAGCUCUCAUGGCAUCACUGCAACCACGGCAACGUGUGAGGUCUGGAUCCUGUCCCACCAGGAGAUUCCCAGCUCAUCACCACCUGCUCCAUCACUGAGCUCAGGAGGUAGAAAAGUUGAAGCCAGAGCCAGGGAAUGUGUUUGUGGUGGGUGAGGGCAGAGGGACCCCCUGUCCCCAUCCCCCCGGGAUUCUGCUGCCCCCACAGCCACAAGAAUGGGGAAGGGACUGUGAAAGGAGGAAGCAGAAUUGGGACAGCCGCUUUCACAAGACACCCGCUUCCCGUCGGGACAUGUCCAGCCCCCUGGGUGCCCCUUCUCCUGGAAAAGGGCUUUCCCUCGGGAUGAAGGCAGACAAGGUGGUGCUGAGUGCCUGGAGCAGCGCUUUCCCCUUUUCUGAUCAUUUUUUGGUUUAGGAUUUCCAACCUGCUGGGCCCAGCCCGGCUGAAAGUGCAGCUUCCUGGGGCCUCACAGCGGAAACACCCCGAGUCUGUUCCUGCCCCGCUGCUGUGACACCCGGAGCCACCAGAGCAUCGCCACCCCACCCGCCACCCGCGUGUCCCGCGGCAGUCCCGGGGGUCCCGCCAAGCAGCGCCCCUCAGAGAAUCCCAUCAACUCCACCAGAGAAAAAACUCCCGAGGAAUUCGUGCUCGGGGCCGAGCAGAUCCCGGCGGGUCCAACCGAGCGGAUCCCGGGGUGCCGGUAUCGCGGCAUGGGAUCGGUGAAACGGCUCCAUCUCCGCCAGGGGCUCGGGGAUUAAAGCAGCGAUUAUUUCUGGGCAGGGCAUGGGUAGGGGCUGGAGCGGGUGGCGGGACCCGGCGCUCCCCGGAGAAGGUCACGGCCGGCCCGCCCCGCUCAAGGACGGAGCUCGGAGGGCACCGGGAGCUGCAUCCAUCCACCGGCGGGAGGCCGGCAGCGCUGCCGGGGAGGAGGAAGAGGAGGAAGAGGAGGAAGAGGAGGAAGAGGAGGUGAGUGAAGCAUCGCCAUCCGCAGCCCCGGCUGCUUGCGGCGCGCUCCGGCCCUGCCGCCGAUCCCGCCAUGGCGGAGCCGCCCGGGCUCCGGGACUCGGGGUCACCCCGGGAAUUUGGGGGAUGGAUCCCCCGCAAGGUGAGAGGGGAGCGGCUGGGGGUCAUCCCGGGGCAGGCUGAGCGUGAGGUGAGAGCGGGGCAGUCACCAUUAGUAAUAAGAACAUCAAUUAAAUAAUAAAUCAUCAACAGAA